UCUACAUAGUCACAUGUUGGGGACCCGCGGCGUGGCGGCGGCAGUGGCGGUAACGACGGCAGGCCGUAGGGCGGCUAGAGGGUUUCCGGUUCCGGUGUAACGUUCGAGCUCCGUCUCUGGGGUUCAAGUUUGUGAGGUUCAGUAUUGGUCCCCAAUUGAACAGUCCUUUUCUGAAGAAUGGCACUAUCUAAAAGGGAACUGGAUGAGCUGAAACCAUGGAUAGAAAAGACAGUGAAGAGAGUACUGGGUUUCUCAGAACCCACAGUGGUCACAGCAGCACUGAACUGCGUGGGGAAGGGCAUGGACAAGAAGAAGGCAGCUGACCAUCUGAAACCUUUUCUUGAUGAUUCUACUCUUCGAUUUGUGGACAAACUGUUUGAAGCUGUGGAGGAAGGUCGAAGUUCUAGACAUUCCAAAUCUAGCAGUGACAGGAGCAGAAAACGAGAACUAAAGGAAGUAUUUGGUGAUGACUCUGAGAUUGCCAAGGAAUCAUCAGGAGUAAAGAAGAGACGGAUACCACGUUUUGAGGAGGUAGAAGAGGAGCCAGAAGUGAUCCCUGGUCCUCCAUCAGAAAGUCCUGGUAUGCUGACUAAACUUCAGAUCAAGCAGAUGAUGGAGGCAGCCACGCGGCAAAUCGAGGAGAGGAAAAAGCAGCUGAGCUUCAUUAGUCCCCCUACACCUCAGGCAAAGACUCCCUCUUCCUCCCAGCCAGAGCGACUUCCAAUUGGCAACACCAUUCAGCCUUCCCAGGCUGCCACUUUCAUGAAUGACGCCAUUGAGAAGGCAAGGAAAGCAGCUGAGUUACAAGCCCGUAUCCAAGCCCAGCUGGCACUGAAGCCAGGACUCAUUGGCAAUGCCAACAUGGUGGGCCUGGCCAACCUCCAUGCCAUGGGCAUUGCUCCUCCGAAGGUGGAGUUAAAAGAUCAAACCAAACCUACACCACUGAUCCUCGAUGAGCAAGGUCGCACUGUAGAUGCAACAGGAAAGGAGAUUGAGCUGACACAUCGCAUGCCCACUCUGAAAGCCAAUAUCCGUGCUGUGAAGAGAGAACAAUUCAAACAACAGCUAAAAGAAAAGCCAUCAGAAGACAUGGAAUCUAAUACCUUUUUUGACCCUCGAGUUUCUAUUGCCCCUUCCCAGCGCCAGAGACGUACUUUUAAAUUCCAUGAUAAGGGCAAAUUUGAGAAAAUUGCCCAACGUUUACGGACAAAGGCUCAGCUGGAGAAGCUACAGGCAGAAAUUUCACAGGCAGCUCGAAAAACAGGCAUCCACACUACCACUAGACUAGCCCUCAUUGCUCCAAAGAAGGAGUUAAAGGAAGGCGAUAUCCCUGAAAUUGAGUGGUGGGACUCUUACAUUAUCCCCAAUGGUUUCGACCUUACAGAGGAAAAUCCCAAGAGAGAAGAUUAUUUUGGAAUCACAAAUCUUGUUGAACAUCCAGCCCAACUCAACCCCCCAGUUGAUAAUGACACACCAGUUACUCUGGGGGUCUAUCUUACCAAGAAGGAACAGAAGAAACUUCGGAGACAAACAAGGAGGGAAGCACAGAAAGAACUACAAGAAAAAGUCAGGCUGGGCCUGAUGCCUCCUCCAGAACCCAAAGUGAGAAUUUCGAAUUUGAUGCGAGUGCUAGGAACAGAAGCUGUUCAAGAUCCCACGAAGGUAGAAGCCCAUGUCAGAGCUCAGAUGGCAAAAAGACAGAAAGCGCAUGAAGAGGCCAACGCUGCCCGAAAACUUACAGCAGAACAGAGAAAGGUCAAGAAAAUUAAAAAGCUUAAAGAAGACAUUUCACAGGGGGUACACAUAUCUGUAUAUAGGGACAGAAUCACAGUGGCCUAAAAGCAUACUUUACAUCAGCCUCAAUACUCUUACUAGUAUGAAUCAGGAAUUAGUAAAUCUUUUACAGUGGUGAGUGUUAAGAUGUAUUCUAGCUUCAAAGUCUUCUUAAUGAACUAGUUGUUAAGAAUGAAUGAAUAUUUGUUCAGGCCAAGAUGUAAACAAAGUACUAUUUAUUCUUUGUAUAGCAUAAAAUAUCUCAUUUCUUUCAGAAGCAUUAAAAUGUACUUUCUAAUAGGUUUGGAGGGGGGGAAAAUGUACGUUCUCAGUAACAACGUUCUGAUAAAUUGCAGUAAUCCUUACAUUUCAACUCUAAAAUGCACCUUAUAUACGGGGGGGGGACGGACACUUUUCCCCAGAGUGCUGCUUAGCUCUGGUUUAUGGUGGUACUAGGGACUGAACCUGAGACUCUUGAUCUAGUAUGAAAGUCUGUUUGCAUAAUCAUUAUACUAUCAUCUCCAGCCACAUUGUAAAUACUUUCUUUUUCUAUGAUUUCACUUUAUACUUUUAUGUUAAAUUACAUAUGUAACUUUUUUAAAAUUUAGCUUCAUUGGCUAGAGACCGCCAGAAAUUGAGAGGGAAAGGGGAGAUAGAUAGGGAGAGCGAAAAAGACACCUACAGCACUGCUUCACCACUUGUAAAGCUUUCCCUCUAGUGGUGGGGACUGGGGGCUCGAACCCUUGUCCUUGGGCAUUAUAACGUGUGCCACCACCCAGCCCCCUGUAACUUUUUUCUUUAAUUUUUAUUUACCAGAGUACUGCUCAGCUCUGACUUGUGAUUUUGGGGACUAAGACCACCAGUACCUUAAGCAUAAAAGUUUGUUGUGCUACUUACUGGUGGCACUAUCUUCUCAAUUCAGAUCUUCUCUUUUUUUAAGUGUACUCAUAUAUAGGAGCGUAGUACCGUCUUGCUGCUUAGCUCAUUACUGUAAAAAAUGAUACAUUAUAUAUUAUAAAAGUAAAAAUUUAAUGUUUUUAAACUCGGACACUUCAGAAGGUAAUUUACUGGAAAAGUCUUUCCUAUUCUUAGAUCUCUUAGAACUACUCACUAUAGGUAGAUUUAGGAAAACAAAGACUAUGUUGAUCUUUAUGUUGUCAAGAAGUACUAGCUUAGAAAUAUCUCUGGAUAGUGAUAAUUAUUUACCCUUCAUUUUUAGAAAGGUUUUGAUUACCAGCUAUUUGUAGUAAGGUAUACACUCUUCACUCUAAAGAAGUACUAGAUGGUAGAAAUACUUUGUCUCAUCAACUACCUUUUAAGGAUUAGUAUGUUUGCUUACUACAAAGGCCUUUGUUUUUUAGAGACUAAACCAUUUUGGAUUCAUUUGUUUCCCAUUCCAUUCAGGCAGCUGCCAGUGCUAAAAUGAAAGCUGUAACUAAACUUUCCCUUCUCCAGAGUUCGAAAUUUGAGCAACCCCGCCAAGAAGUUCAAGAUUGAGGCCAAUGCGGGGCAACUGUACCUGACAGGGGUGGUGGUACUGCACAAGGAUGUCAACGUGGUAGUAGUGGAAGGGGGCCCCAAGUCCCAGAAGAAAUUUAAACGCC